GAAUGCUGACAUAAGUAACGAUAAAGCGGGUGAAAAGCCCGCUCGCCGGAAGACCAAGGGUUCCUGUCCAACGUUAAUCGGGGCAGGGUGAGUCGACCCCUAAGGCGAGGCCGAAAGGCGUAGUCGAUGGGAAACGGGUUAAUAUUCCCGUACUUGGUGUUACUGCGAAGGGGGGACGGAGAAGGCUAUGUUGGCCGGGCGACGGUUGUCCCGGUUUAAGCGUGUAGGUGUGUGUUCCAGGUAAAUCCGGUUCACUUUAACACUGAGGCGUGACGACGAGGCACUACGGUGCUGAAGCAACAAAUGCCCUGCUUCCAGGAAAAGCCUCUAAGCAUCAGGUAACAUCAAAUCGUACCCCAAACCGACACAGGUGGUCAGGUAGAGAAUACCAAGGCGCUUGAGAGAACUCGGGUGAAGGAACUAGGCAAAAUGGUGCCGUAACUUCGGGAGAAGGCACGCUGACACGUAGGUGAAGUGAUUUACUCAUGGAGCUGAAGUCAGUCGAAGAUACCAGCUGGCUGCAACUGUUUAUUAAAAACACAGCACUGUGCAAACACGAAAGUGGACGUAUACGGUGUGACGCCUGCCCGGUGCCGGAAGGUUAAUUGAUGGGGUCAGCGCAAGCGAAGCUCCUGAUCGAAGCCCCGGUAAACGGCGGCCGUAACUAUAACGGUCCUAAGGUAGCGAAAUUCCUUGUCGGGUAAGUUCCGACCUGCACGAAUGGCGUAAUGAUGGCCAGGCUGUCUCCACCCGAGACUCAGUGAAAUUGAACUCGCUGUGAAGAUGCAGUGUACCCGCGGCAAGACGGAAAGACCCCGUGAACCUUUACUAUAGCUUGACACUGAACAUUGAGCCUUGAUGUGUAGGAUAGGUGGGAGGCUUUGAAGUGUGGACGCCAGUCUGCAUGGAGCCGACCUUGAAAUACCACCCUUUAAUGUUUGAUGUUCUAACGUGGACCCGUUACCCGGGUUGCGGACAGUGUCUGGUGGGUAGUUUGACUGGGGCGGUCUCCUCCUAAAGAGUAACGGAGGAGCACGAAGGUUGGCUAAUCCUGGUCGGACAUCAGGAGGUUAGUGCAAUGGCAUAAGCCAGCUUGACUGCGAGCGUGACGGCGCGAGCAGGUGCGAAAGCAGGUCAUAGUGAUCCGGUGGUUCUGAAUGGAAGGGCCAUCGCUCAACGGAUAAAAGGUACUCCGGGGAUAACAGGCUGAUACCGCCCAAGAGUUCAUAUCGACGGCGGUGUUUGGCACCUCGAUGUCGGCUCAUCACAUCCUGGGGCUGAAGUAGGUCCCAAGGGUAUGGCUGUUCGCCAUUUAAAGUGGUACGCGAGCUGGGUUUAGAACGUCGUGAGACAGUUCGGUCCCUAUCUGCCGUGGGCGCUGGAGAACUGAGGGGGGCUGCUCCUAGUACGAGAGGACCGGAGUGGACGCAUCACUGGUGUUCGGGUUGUCAUGCCAAUGGCACUGCCCGGUAGCUAAAUGCGGAAGAGAUAAGUGCUGAAAGCAUCUAAGCACGAAACUUGCCCCGAGAUGAGUUCUCCCUGAGACUU
rnacentral:rRNA from 2 species